rnacentral:rRNA from 1 species
GGCGUGCUUACACAUGCAGUCGAACGAUGAACCGCUUUCGGGCGGGGAUUAGUGGCGAACGGGUGAGUAACACGUGGGCAAUCUGCCCUGCACUCUGGGACAAGCCCUGGAAACGGGGUCUAAUACCGGAUAUGACCGUCUGCCGCAUGGUGGAUGGUGUAAAGCUCCGGCGGUGCAGGAUGAGCCCGCGGCCUAUCAGCUUGUUGGUGAGGUAGUGGCUCACCAAGGCGACGACGGGUAGCCGGCCUGAGAGGGCGACCGGCCACACUGGGACUGAGACACGGCCCAGACUCCUACGGGAGGCAGCAGUGGGGAAUAUUGCACAAUGGGCGAAAGCCUGAUGCAGCGACGCCGCGUGAGGGAUGACGGCCUUCGGGUUGUAAACCUCUUUCAGCAGGGAAGAAGCGAAAGUGACGGUACCUGCAGAAGAAGCGCCGGCUAACUACGUGCCAGCAGCCGCGGUAAUACGUAGGGCGCAAGCGUUGUCCGGAAUUAUUGGGCGUAAAGAGCUCGUAGGCGGCUUGUCACGUCGGUUGUGAAAGCCCGGGGCUUAACCCCGGGUCUGCAGUCGAUACGGGCAGGCUAGAGUUCGGUAGGGGAGAUCGGAAUUCCUGGUGUAGCGGUGAAAUGCGCAGAUAUCAGGAGGAACACCGGUGGCGAAGGCGGAUCUCUGGGCCGAUACUGACGCUGAGGAGCGAAAGCGUGGGGAGCGAACAGGAUUAGAUACCCUGGUAGUCCACGCCGUAAACGGUGGGCACUAGGUGUGGGCAACAUUCCACGUUGUCCGUGCCGCAGCUAA